rnacentral:lncRNA from 1 species
CCGCCUGUAAUUCUCUAUCCCGGAUCAUAGUGGCUAGGCUCUCAACUACUUUGCAUAGCCGGUUAAAGUCCUCAUGUUGCACGCUGGACUGCCCUGCGUGGGUUACAGAUGGACCAGUAGCGGGUCUCAGUUGUGCGGGAAGGGGCACGGCGUGAUACGGGGAUGACCCUUGAAAUGUAGUGAGUGGCACCUGGAGAAACCCCGGUGCUCGUUGUGAGGCCCCUGGUGAGCCUUGCGCCCCCGGAGCAGAUUCACGAUGGGGUCGGCCC